rnacentral:rRNA from 1 species
CCUACGGGGAGCAGCAGUGAGGAAUAUUGGUCAAUGGACGCAAGUCUGAACCAGCCAUGCCGCGUGCAGGAAGACGGCUCUAUGAGUUGUAAACUGCUUUUGUACGAGGGUAAACGCAGAUACGCGUAUCUGUCUGAAAGUAUCGUACGAAUAAGGAUCGGCUAACUCCGUGCCAGCAGCCGAGGUAAUACGGAGGAUUCAAGCGUUAUCCAGAUUUAUUGGGUUUAAAGGGUGCGUAGGCGGUCGGAUAAGUUAGAGGUGAAAUCCCGAGGCUCAACUUCGGAAUUGCCUCUGAUACUGUUUGGCUAGAGAGUAGUUGCGGUAAGCGGAAUGUAUGGUGUAGCGGUGAAAUGCUUAGAUAUCAUACAGAACACCGAUUGCGAAGGCAGCUUACCAAGCUACUUCUGACGUUGAGGCACGAAAGCGUGGGGAGCAAACAGGAUUAGAUACCCUGGUAGUC